rnacentral:lncRNA from 1 species
GUGUGACUGAUUGUUAGUCUCAAUGCGGGAUGGUCAUUGACCGAUACACCCUAUGAUCAGCCCUUAACAUAGAUUACAUAUGGCUAAUCUGUGAAUCCUACUUGAAUUAACGAUUCUUAAUCGAUCAAGCAUACCAAAACAUAAGAAAAAGUUUGCUUUUUCAAUCAAAGAUAAGUUUUCACAAAGACAAUACGUCAAGCAUUACAUAGAUGAUAAUGAAGCAGUGAUACAUGAUGGAA